GACGAACGCUGGCGGCGUGCUUAACACGUGCAAGUCGAACGGUAAGGCCUUCGGGUACACGAGUGGCGAACGGGUGAGUAACACGUGGGUGAUCUGCCCCCUACUCUGGGAUAAGCCUGGGAAACUGGGUCUAAUACCGGAUAUGACCUCCUUCUGCAUGGUUGGUGGUGGAAAGUUUUUUCGGUAGGGGAUGAGCCCGCGGCCUAUCAGCGUGUUGGUGGGGUAAUGGCCUACCAAGGCGACGACGGGUGGCCGGCCUGAGAGGGCGACCGGACACACUGGGACUGAGACACGGCCCAGCCUCAUACGGGAGGCAGCAGUGGGGAAUAUUGCACAAUGGGCGAAAGCCUGAUGCAGCGACGCCGCGUGGGGGAUGACGGCCUUCGGGUUGUAAACCCCUUUCAGUCGGGACGAAGCGAGAGUGACGGUACCGAUAGAAGAAGCACCGGCCAACUACGUGCCCGCCGCCGCAGUAAGAC
rnacentral:rRNA from 1 species